CACAAUCUCACCGCCAUGGCGACUCGUUUCGCGAGGUCGAUCGGAGCUAUCGUCCUCCGCCACUCAUAAGUCGCCGGCCGGAAUUGAAACCGGCAGUCAUGGCGUCUUCAAGCCACGAUUGACAUCAUCAUCUUCUUCUCCUGAGAGUGAGUUUCCUAAAACUAAUAAUAAGAAAAUGACUGAUCGUCUCUCCGGUGCAAUCGACGUGGUUAACGAUCGUAAGCUUCCGCCGGAACUUCGAGGUCAACGUGACGCCGUUAGGUCAGAAACUGACAUCAUCAAUGUUGUUGAACAACGAAUAUGGCAUUCCAUGGAAGAAGGGCAAUUUGAGAACUUACCAGGGAAAGGAAAACCGUUGGACCUCAAUACUAAUCCUCAUGCUGAUCCAGCUGAAGAUACCUUGUAUAGGAUUCUCUCCAGAAAUAAAUGUGCACCUGAGUGGGUUGAAUUGAACAAAGAGAUAAGAAAUAGAGUAGUUGAGUGGAGAUCAGCACUUGAAAGGGCAUGGACACACCGAGGCUCUGUCGAUGAUUCUGAAUGGAUCGAGGCAUCCGAGUCUCUAAAGCUGCAGAUACGUGACAUCAAUAACAAGGUUUUCCGAUACAACCUUAUUGUCCCUUUUGGCCGCCAAAUGCUUGGACUCAAGUGGGAGAAGGAAAUGGACCGACUGAAAGAAGAAAGUACAGGGAGCUGAACAUUUUGCAGGUCUCAUUGCUGGUGUAGUUUAUCACAUGAAAGUGGAAACUUCUAUAUGCGCGGGGGGUUCCUUGUGUUCUUGCUUCUUGUUUUCGUCGUUCCUAGUCCAGUACUUCGGGAAUUUGCGUUUCUCAGUCUCUUGACUCUCUAUUAUAAGUUUGAUCCAAGUUUUUAAUAUUUUCUUGUAUCGAAGACCCAAAUAUUUAUAAUUAGUGGGUGAGGGUGUCGGAGUCGUAUGGGAGCAAAGUUGGUGUUUUAAAGGCCCCAACAUAUAUGACU